ACUCAAAGGAAUUGACGGGGGCCCGCACAAGCGGUGGAGCAUGCGGGUUAAUAGGAUGAUACGCCAAGAACCUUACCAGGGCUUGACAUCAAUCGGAAACCCUAUGAAAGUAGGUCCCCUGAGCAAUCAGGUCGAUUGACAGAUGGUGCAUGGUUGUCGUCAGCUCGUGCCGUGAGGUGUUGGGUUAAGUCCCGCAACGAGCGCAACCCUCGCCAGAUGUUGCCAUCGGGUAAUGCCGGGAACUCUUCUGGGACUGCCUGAGUAAUCAGGAGGAAGGAGAGGACGACGUCAAAUCUGCAUGCCUCUUACGCCCUGGGCUGCACGCGUGCUACAAUGGCGGGUACAAAGGGUAGCCAAACCGCGAGGUGGAGCCAAUCCCCCAAAACCCGUCUCAGUUGGGAUCGGAUGUCUGCAACUCGACUCCGUGAACGCGGAAUCGCUAGUAACCGUGGAUCAGCAACGCCACGGUGAAUACGUUCCCGGGCCUUGUACACACCGCCCGU
rnacentral:rRNA from 1 species